UGGCACUUGGGAGACCCACAAUGUUGCUUCCACGAUAUUUCAAUCAAAAAAUGUUAUCAAAUCAAAUGUAUUUAUAUAGCCCUUCGUACAUCAGCUGAUAUCUCAAAGUGCUGUACAGAAACCCAGCCUAAAACCCCAAACAGCAAGCACUGCAGGUGUAGAAGCAAGGUGGGUAGGAAAAACUCCCUAGGAAGAAACCUAGAGAGGAACCAGGCUAUGAGGGGUGGCCAGUCCUCUUCUGGCUGUGCCGGGUGGAGAUUAUAACAGAACAUGGCCAAGUUGUUCAAAUGUUCAUAAAUGACCAGCAUGGUCAAAUAAUAAUAAUCACAGGCAGAACAGUUGAAACUGGAGCAUCAGCACGGCCAGGUGGACUGGGGACAGCAAGGAGUCAUCAUGCCAGGUAGUCCUGAGGCAUGGUCCUAGGGCUCAGGCCCUCCGAGAGAGAGAAAAAGAGAAUUAGAGAGCAUACUUAAAUUCACACAGGACACCGGAUAAGACAGGAGAAGUACUCCAGAUAUAACAAACUGACCCUAGACACAAACUACUGCAGCAUAAAUACUGGAGGCUGAGACAGGAGGGGUCAGGAGACACUGUGGCCCCAUCCGAUGAUACCCCCGGACAGGGCCAAACAGGAAGGAUAUAACCCCACCCACUUUGCCAAAGUACAGCCCCCACACCACUAAAGGGAUAUCUUCAACCACCAACUUACCAUCCUGAGACAAGGCCGAGUCUAGUCCACAAAGAUCUCUGCCACGUCACAACCUAAGGGAGGGCGCCAACCCAGACAGGAAGAUCACAUCAGUGACUUAACCCACUCAAGUGACGCACCCCUCCUAGGGACGGCAUGAAAGAGCACCAGUAAAAGCCAGUGACUCAGCCCGUGUAAUAGGGUUAGAGGCAGAGAAUCCCAGUGGAAAGAGGGGAACCGGCCAGGCAGAGACAGCAAGGGCGGUUCGUUGCUCCAGAACCUUUUCGUUCACCUUCACACUCCUGGGCCAGACUACACUCAAUCAUAUGACCCACUGAAGAGAUGAGUUUUCAGUAAAGACUUAAAGGUUGAGACCGAGUUUGCGUCUCUUUUUUGCGUUAUGUAAUGAUGUUUAAUUGACGUGGAAAAGAUUUUAUCUAAAUCCAAUGACAUGGUGACAUUUUUUGUUGAUUUCACAUUGAAUUCAUGUUAGUUGACAACUACACCUAAUGUAAAUCAAAACUAGAUGUUGAACUGAUGUCUGUGCCCAGUGGGUUACCUCCCCAUAUCGGUUUCUGUGUCUUGUCUCUCAGGACAAGCACUGUCUGUUGGAGCUGGGCCUGAGUAGUGUGGAGGGCCUUCUGAGGCAGGGGAUCUACCCUAUCGUCAUUAAUAUCCGACCCAAGAACAAAAAACACAAGAAGCUAAAGAAGUUGCUGACCGGGCGAGGGGAGGAUGGCGUGAUGCAGGAGGUGUGUCAGGCGGACGAGCAGCAGCUGGAGACCCUGCCCCUGCUCUACCACACUUUGGAAUCCAGCACCUGGAGCUGCACCGAGGAUCUGCUUCUCGCCAUACGCAAUGUCAUCCACAGCCAGCAGAAGGCACUGCUGUGGGUUGAGUUGGAAAGGCUCCAAUAGAUCCCAAUGUUAUCGCCCAGUUUUAUUGUUGUACUUAGCUAAAUUUUAUACAAUUAAAGAUACAUUUCACACACACCCAUAUAGAUACCUAGUUCUACCACUGUAAAUGUGAAGUUUAAUGUUCAUAUGAUGAAUUUAACCUUACAAGCUCAGUAGUAACGUGUCUUUAUGUUUUAAUGUUGUAUUUCUUGUCCACCUAUGCUAAACAUCAGCAUUAAACAACCUUCAUUAGUUAACAGAG